CCAUCGGCCCUUUUCAGGGCCACAAAAACAUCCAUACGUAUCGCAU
rfam:Trichomalopsis sarcophagae strain Alberta scaffold29957, whole genome shotgun sequence.